GAAAGUUUGUAUGUGUGUGUUUGUAUGUAUGUGUGUAUGUUAGUUACUCUUCCACGCAAAAACUGAUAGAUGGAUUUGGUUAAAAUUUGGAGAGCAGAUU